rnacentral:lncRNA from 12 species
UGAUGAAAAAUCAAGUUAGCGCUUGUCAUCCGCACCGGCGGCGAGAAGCCGAUGACCCAUUUCUCCGCGUUACGAUCGAUGGCCAUAAUUUUAUUUAUCGUAUAUUAUCUGCUGCUGUUAUCUCGAUGAUAAAGGGUUGUUGCUGAAAAAUUAACGCCAUAAAGCGGGAGCUGAGAGUUCUCUUGAUUUGGACAGCUGCGUAUGAGUCACUUUUUAUACACACAUAGCGACUGAGAGAGAGAGAGAGAGAAUGGGAGGAAAGUCAGAGAUGAUUGUGAGAAAUAGCUUCUGCGCAGAGGCUUGAAGCUUUUUCUGGCCAGCGAGUACUUUGCCCUUUGAAACCAGUUUGCCAGUCAUCACAGGAGAUGAGCACACUGUGCACAUUGGAUUAUGAAUUACAGUUUUAUGUCUCAUGAGGCAAAUGCCUUGAAUUAUGUGGGCUUUAUGCCAUACUUUUUGCAAUGACUUGCUGACUGUGCGAAGAAAAAAGAUCCUGCACUCUGUACUCCAAUAAGUAUAAGUAUGAGUUUGUCUACUUUCUGCCAGGACUGCAUACAGGAAACUGAGUGUGGAGCACUCGAUGAAAGUACCUGCUCGGAGCAAGACAUCUUUGCACCACUACGUACACACACACACACAGCUAUACACAUUCCAGCAGCACUUGUUGCUGCACUAUUUGAAUAACCUCCCAAAAGUCUUGCCAGCUCUCUCAUUAUCACUGCCUUGAGAGUUCCGGCGUCUCAUCAGAGCCAGAUUAUAAUAAGAGGCCAGUCGUGAGUCCUAAUGAAUUCCGGAGCGAGUGCAUUCGUCCCAAUAAGGCCGCCCCGCCUCUGUAUACUCGUGCAACAACGCGGUGCAGCACUACUUUACAACUCACUCUCUCCGCGGCGAGAAAAGCGCAGCAGUCACAGAAAGACUGGAGAGAGAAAGGGGGUUGAAAAAUAUACAAUUUCCUAUGAUAUUCACCUCGUUUGGGGUAUCCAUCGGUGGUCCGGCCGACUGGGGCCGCAUCUUCCCGUCUGGCCUCUCCCCGGAGCCGAGGUCGGCGCACUAUGCACACAAACACACACGUAUACACAAGAGCACUGACUGAGGGACAGAGCGAGAUGCACUGAAGUGGAGAGUCCGUUGAGGUUAAACGCACUGAGAAGCGAGAGAAGCCAGGAUGCCGAGGCAGUGAAUCACGCUAAGGUGGCACCAGUCAUCGUCUCGGCCCGCCAGCGAUAAAGGGACUGCUGCUGGCGUACGCACGUAUGUGUGCUUCUCGUAGGUAUGCUACCGCUACGGAGUGAGUAAGUAGUAGGGAGAGAACGAACGCCGCUGUGGCGGAGAGCGACGUGUGUACGGCUUUUUUUCCCUCCGCCGCGCACCACCGCCGCGUUUCCUUUCCACUCGCGCGCGCGCGCAGCUGAAGAAAACUGACACGCUAUACGCGGUUAUACGCGAGCGGCUGCGAGUGAGAGAGAGAGAGAGAGAGGAGAGGUGAGUGGUUUCAACGGCGAGUUCGCUGCCGGCUGAUGCGGCUGCGGUUCCGACUCCGCGGCGUUCCAGCUUACCGAUCGAGUCUAGUUUCUUUUCUUUAUUGGCUACGUUCCGCUGUUCCGCACCGCCGACGCUUUUUAAAAUUCGCAGUUUUGACCUUUGGUUUGGAGCAAAAAGUUGCGACAGUAUAUUAUUACAUGUUGGUAUAGAAUCUAAUAUGACUAUUAUAUGUGCAAAUAACGUAUAAAUAAUUCGUUUUUAGCUGUUGGUUUGGUGAAAUUUUGUAAACGCUGCGCACUUGCUAAACUAAAAGAGGAUAAUUUGUGUUAUCUGCCAAAAAUAAAAAAAAAAACCUUCGAUCAAUAAGAAAA